rnacentral:rRNA from 1 species
CCUACGGGGGGCAGCAGUGAGGAAUAUUGGUCAAUGGACGAGAGUCUGAACCAGCCAAGUAGCGUGAAGGAUGACUGCCCUAUGGGUUGUAAACUUCUUUUAUAUGGGAAUAAAAUGUUCCACGUGUGGGAUUUUGUAUGUACCAUAUGAAUAAGGAUCGGCUAACUCCGUGCCAGCAGCCGCGGUAAUACGGAGGAUCCGAGCGUUAUCCGGAUUUAUUGGGUUUAAAGGGAGCGUAGGUGGAUUGUUAAGUCAGUUGUGAAAGUUUGCGGCUCAACCGUAAAAUGGCAGUUGAAACUGGCAGUCUUGAGUACAGUAGAGGUGGGCGGAAUGCGUGGUGUAGCGGUGAAAUGCUUAGAUAUCACGAAGAACUCCGAUUGCGAAGGCAGUUCACUGGACUGCAACUGACACUGAGGCUCGAAAGUGUGGGUAUCAAACAGGAUUAGAUACCCGAGUAGUC